CCCAGACACACAUACCUCACACCACACACCUGACACAUACAUGAUACACACCCGACACACAGACACACCCUGGACUCAUACCCCGGAUGCGCACCACACACCCCCCCCAGACACACCUCACAAAUGCACCCCACAUACUGCUUACACACCAGACACACCUGACAUGCACACCCCAAACACCUCACACAUCCCAGACACACACAACUCACACACAUGCCUGACACAUACACCAGAUACACACCCCAGACACACACAUCCCAUGCACACCUCACACAUGCAUCAGACACACACAACCCAGAUACACACCUCACAAACGCACCACACACCCCCAGAUCUACACACCUGACACAACCCUCACACACCUAACACACACCCUCACACACCUAACACACACACCUCACACAAACACUCCACAUACCUCAGGCACACACACCCCAGACACACACAUGCUCGAAACACGCACCUCCCAUGCACAUACACCCUCACACACCUCACGCACACACCAGCCACACAUGCCUGACAUAUACUCGACACACACAUCCCUUACACACUCCAGACACACACGCCUGACAUACAACUCACACACACUUCACACAUGCACACCUGACACAUGUAUCCCUGACCUGCACACACACCCUUCACACAUACACCCUAGACACACCCUGGAUCCACCCACUCUUGACACACACCCUAGACACUGACAACCCCACACACAAACCCUUGACACACACCCCAGACACCUCCAAACACCCCUCACACAUAUAUCCCAGAUGCACACACACCCCUACACACCUCAGGCACACACACUCCUGACACAUGCACCCCAUGCACCCUCCCACACAGGUGGCACACAUUCCUCACACACACCUGACACACACCUGACUCAGACACACCUGUCACCCCAGCAGACACCUGACACACUCAAAACACCUCUCACACCUGACACACAUCACGCAAACAUUUCACUUACCUCACACACCUGACAGCCCUCACGCACACCUCACACACACCUGACAUACACAUGUGACACACACACAUCUCACACAUACACACCCUCACGCACACGCACACACGCUCGCCGCCUCACUGUGCAGGGGCAGGUGCCCUGGCCAGCUCAACCCUGGCUGCUCCUUGGUCUGGGGCCCCCCCCAGAGUCUCCAGGUGGACCUUGGGUGGAUGCUCAGACUCCCCCGUCCCCUCCGCCUUUGUGCUGGGUCAGACCCAGCUGGGUUUGGCUCUCACUCACCCUGAGGAUGGCCCUGGCGCCCGCAUGGUGCCCAGCACACAGAAGGCGCUCCAUAGGCAUUUGCCUGAGUGCGGCUCCCAGCUGUGGGUGGUCAGCAAUGACAGGAGCAUGCGUUGGUGAUGCCUUCGUUUUCAUUGCUAAACCGUAACCCAUUGUUCCCGCUGUUAACUCAUGGACAUGCCGCGUUUCAUCCACGCUGAACGGUAACCCGUUGUUACUACUGUCUUUUUGUUUUGUUUUGUUUUGUUUUUUUGAGACGGAGUCUCGGUCUGUCGCCCAGGCUGGAGGGCAGUGGCGCAAUCUUGGCUCACUGCAAGCCCUGCCUCCCGGGUUCGAGCCAUUCUCCUGCCUCAGCCUC
rnacentral:lncRNA from 10 species